GAACCACUUUUAACGGCCGCGGUAUCCUAACCGUGCAAAGGUAGCAUAAUCACUUGUCCUCUAAAUAAGGACUGGAAUGAACGGCCAAACGAGGGCAUAACUGUCUCCUGUAGCCUACCAAUAAACCUGAUCUCUCCGUACAAAAGCCGAGAUAAACACACUAGACAAGAAGACCCUGUGGAGCUUUAAGCCGACAUGCCAACACCCCCCCCACCAUUGACAUCACGCUUUUAGUUGGGGCGACUACGGAGCAAAACAAAACCUCCACGACACAACACCAAUCCAAGACCCACAUGUCAAAACCAAAAACACUACGACCCAGUCCAACUGACCAUCGAACCAAGUUACCCCAGGGAUAACAGCGCCAUCCUCCUCAAGAGUCCCUAUCGCCAGGAGGGCUUACGACCUCGAUGUUGGAUCAGGACAUCCCGGUGGUGCAGCCGCUACCAAAGG
rnacentral:rRNA from 1 species